GAGACAGUGUACAGAGCUUGGAAUUCUCCGAGGGGUUCCUGAGAUGGGGCCAUUCAAGCCGGAGGGUUGAAUAGCUUGACUCUUCAUUUCAGCAGCAUGAUUGACCCCUCAGUGGAUCAACAGCGAUUCAUUCCACACGUAUUUAGAGUCCUUGGUGAAUUUUGUCAUGAUUAUUUAAGGAACCUUGCCUAGAAGUCCCAACUUGCAGUUCCCCAUCGACGGGAAGGCUUGGACUCCAAGAUGAUUAUAAAGGAAUAUCGGAUUCCUCUGCCAAUGACCGUGGAGGAGUACCGCAUCGCCCAGCUGUACAUGAUACAGAAGAAGAGCCGUAACGAGACAUAUGGCGAAGGCAGCGGCGUGGAGAUCCUGGAGAACCGGCCGUAUACAGAUGGCCCAGGCGGCUCUGGGCAGUACACACACAAGGUGUAUCAUGUGGGCAUGCACAUUCCCAGCUGGUUCCGCUCCAUCCUGCCCAAGGCAGCCCUGCGGGUGGUGGAGGAAUCUUGGAAUGCCUACCCCUACACCCGAACCAGGUUCACCUGCCCUUUCGUGGAGAAAUUCUCCAUCGACAUUGAAACCUUUUAUAAAACUGAUGCUGGAGAAAACCCCGACGUGUUCAACCUCUCUCCUGUGGAAAAGAACCAGCUGACAAUCGACUUCAUCGACAUUGUCAAAGACCCUGUGCCCCACAACGAGUAUAAGACAGAAGAGGACCCCAAGCUGUUCCAGUCAACCAAGACCCAGCGGGGGCCCCUGUCCGAGAACUGGAUCGAGGAGUACAAGAAGCAGGUCUUCCCCAUCAUGUGCGCAUACAAGCUCUGCAAGGUGGAGUUCCGCUACUGGGGCAUGCAGUCCAAGAUCGAGAGGUUCAUCCACGACACCGGACUACGGAGGGUGAUGGUGCGGGCUCACCGGCAGGCCUGGUGCUGGCAGGACGAGUGGUAUGGGCUGAGCAUGGAGAACAUCCGGGAGCUGGAGAAGGAGGCGCAGCUCAUGCUUUCCCGCAAGAUGGCCCAGUUCAACGAGGAUGGUGAGGAGGCCACCGAGCUCGUCAAGCACGAAGCCGCCUCGGACCAGGCCUCUGGGGAGCCCCCGGAGCCCAGCAGCAGCAACGGGGAGCCGCUAGUGGGGCGCGGCCUCAAGAAACAGUGGUCCACAUCCUCCAAGUCGUCUCGGUCGUCCAAGCGGGGAGCGAGUCCUUCCCGCCACAGCAUCUCGGAGUGGAGGAUGCAGAGUAUUGCCAGGGACUCGGAUGAGAGCUCAGAUGACGAGUUCUUCGAUGCACACGAGGACCUGUCCGACACAGAGGAAAUGUUCCCCAAGGACAUCACCAAGUGGAGCUCCAAUGACCUCAUGGACAAGAUCGAGAGCCCAGAGCCGGAAGACACACAAGAUGGUCUGUACCGCCAGAGUGCCCCUGAGUUCAGGGUGGCCUCCAGUGUGGAGCAGCUGAACAUCAUAGAGAUCAAAAAUAAGAUCUUCACCUUGUGCCCAGCCUGUCUGCUGUCCCUGAAGAUAAAAAGACGAAAAGGGAGGAAGCGACAGUCGUCUAGGCAGAAGUGAUGUGGCCGUGGCCGACAAGAUGGCCCCGCGGGAGGCAGGCGGAGCUCAGUGUGUCCAAUAAAGCUGUCUUGGUAGA
rnacentral:sRNA from 1 species